UGUUGUGCGCUGAUGCCGAACAUGGGCACGUGCUUGGCGAUUGCAUCUUGGUCCCGUUCAAAUUGGUCUUGAUCUGCAAUGGAUACAACCAGGCAUUUGGUUCUCUCUAUGACUCGUCGUCUAGUUCUUGGGGAAAUAUUUUCUCGACGGCGAUAGCAAAUGAAAUUUAUGCCAGAAGGGGCAGCAUCCUUGUUGGAAAUGUGCUUUGCUAGUUUAUUUGUGGAGGUGAUGUCCUUGUGUUUGACAUCCAAAUGCAGAGUCUUGGUGUGAUCGAGAAGCCGGCAGACAACCAUGUUACCAUUGACUUGUUUUUUCAGCUCUUGCGGACGGAGAAUAGUGGACUAGGCCUUGCUGUUUUGUCGGAACGGAUCAUCCAAUUAUGGGAGAGGAAACCUAACUGUGAUGGUGUUGUCGGAUGGGUGUUGCUGUAGAAAACCAUUCCUUUGAAGGGGUUGCUUCCAAGCACAAAGCCUUUGGUACUUAUCGUGGGGUAUGAUGAGGACACAAAUGUGAUUGUUCUGUCUACGGGGAUUGGCAACUUCAUGCUCCAACUUGACUCAGUGCAGAUCAAACAUAUCAUUAAAAGAAAUGGCAUGUGCAUCGACAUGUUUUAUCCCUACCAUAAUUUCUACACUGCAGGCAGGGGAGUUGGGUGGAAAUGGGUGGAGCUGGAACUUUGAACUCUUGUGAUCUAGUAAUGUGCUAUCUUGGUUGAAUGAGUGAGGUACCCAGGGUUAUACAUGGGUUGCUAAAAUGAAGAAAAAUGUCUAAUUUGUUUGGUCUCCUCCAUAUGCUGAAGCAUGCGAUGUGGUUGACGCUAAGAUUGCACCUCUGUAGUAUGUCGGUUGUUCUACUUUUAUGUA